CGCAGACAUGAGGGCGAGGCUAAAACAGUAAGGUCAAGUUGUUUCGACAGAAAGCCUACAGGGUGCGGUCCUGGCUCUUGUGUAAGAAUUCUGACUGCACUAACCAUGCCUAGGAAGGAAAGGAGUUGUUGUUUUGUAAAGGAUUGAGGUUUGGAAGAUUAAUCGGACACGGUCAGCAGGGAGAGCACUUGUGUUUUUAUGAGAAUUAUGCCGAGAUAGGUAACAGAUGAGGAUGAAAUUUGGGCUUGACUGAAGUAAUGGGGGCUGUCUGUGAAGCCCUGUGGCAGUACAGCCCAGGUAAUUUGCUGAGCCUAAUGGGUGUCAGGGUCAGUCUAAGUGAAAGCAAAGAGAGGCUUGGAUGAAGGGUGCAAAGGAAUAGUAAAGAAAGCAUGUGUGAGACCCAGAACAAAAUAAUGGGUAGUAGAGUGAGGUAUUGAGGAUAGGAGAGUAUAUGGGUUUGGCACCACGGGGUGGAUAGGCAAAACAAUUUGGUUGAUAAGGCUAAGAUUCUGAACUAACUCGUAAGCCUUGUCCAGUUUUAGGACAGGUAAAAUAGGGGAAUGGUAAGGAGAGUUCAUAGGCUUUAAAAGGCCAUGCUGUAGCAGGCGAGUGAUAACAGGCUUUAAUCAUUUUAAAGAGUGCUGUGGGAUGGGAUCUUGGCAUUGAGCGGGGUAAGGGGGAUUAGGUUUUAAUGAGAUAGUAAGGGGUGCAUGAUCGGUCGCCAAGGAGGGAGGAGAGGUAUCUUAUACUUGUGGGUUAAGGUGGGGGGAUUCAAGAGGAGAAUACAAAGGAGGCUUUGGAUUGGGAAAAAGGGUGGCAAUGAGAUGCAGCUGUAGUCCAGGAAUAGUCAGGGAAGCAGAUACUUUAGUUAAAGUGUCUCAUCCUAAUAAGGGAACUGGGCAGGUGGGGAUAACUAAAAAGGAGUGCUUAAAAGAGUAUUGUCUAAGUUGGCACCAGAGUUGGGGAGUUUUAAGAGGUUUAGAAGCCUGGCCGUCAAUACCCACAACAGUUAUGGAGGCAAGGGAAACAGGCCCUUGAAAAGAAGGUAAUGUGGAGUGGGUAGCCUCCGUAUUGAUUAAGAAGGGGACGGACUUACCCUCCACUCUGAGAGUUACCCGAAGCUCGGCAUCUGUAAUUGUCUACAGGGCUUCCAAGGCGAUCGGGCAGCGUCAGUCUUCAGCCGCUAAGCUGAGAAGAUCUGGGAAGGAGUCAGAGAGCCUUGGGCCAGAGUUCCAGGGGCUUUGGAAGUGGCUACCAGCAGCCCCUGGAUCUCACCUCAACUUCUGCCCACAGCAGCCACAGCAUCACUACCUGAUCCUCUUCAGGAGGAGUGGUCUGUGUGAAGAGGAGAGUGACAGGAAAGGGGGACAAGUCUCCAGGGACUCAGGGACUACUUAGUAGAAAGUGUCCUUAUAGGUGGUUUCCUAGACUUACAUCUGACCUCCACCAUUGAUUUGGUCGCCAUCCACAGAAAAGGGCAAAGGGACAAAAUAGAAAUCGAAAUCCAGCGAGCGAAAUGUGAUGAUGAGGGCCUCAUCACCUUUGGCACACCGUACUGGCUCUGCUAUACUUGAUACUGUCCAUUUUCCAAUAUAAUUGGGGAAAAAAUAUGGUGAUCAGAUGCCCGUCACCCACACCAAUCUCCCUGCUGUGGGCUGAGUUGUGUCUCCCCAACAUUCACACAUUGAUCUAACCCCUGGGACCUCAGAAUGUGAAUGUAUUUGGAGAUAGAGUUCAGUCACCUUUAUAGAGGUGAUUGAGCUAAAAUGAAGUCAUUUGGGUGACCCCUAAUCCCAUAUGACUGGUUCCCUUAAAAGAAAAGGAGAUGAGGACACAGACACACACAGAGGGAAGACCACGUGAGGACACAGGGAGAUGACGGCUGUCUGCAAGACAUCGAUUUCCAGCCUCCAGCACUGUGAGAAAAUAGAUUUCUGUUGUUCACACCACUCAGUCUGUGGCACUUUGUUAGGGCAGUCCUGGCAAACUAAUACACUCCCCUUAAGUCAAACUUGGAUAUACCUAACAUUUGUAAAGAACGGUUACUUCAAAAAAAAAAAAAGCUUUUGUAACCAUUUUCUUUUGGAUCCUUCCAACAACUCUGCAAGAUAUCACAAUGGUUAUUUUGCAAAUGGAGGAACUGAGGCUUAAGAAAGUAAAGGAAUUUACUUCUUGUGCAGCAAUAAUGGGCAGAGCUGCGGGACUGGAGCUGCCCUUGCCCUCUGCUCUCCUAGCAAUUUUCUUUUAUGAGCAAACCUACACGGUGUAAACCUCCUGGGCAACUGUUCUUUUCUGCACACUUCACUAUAUGAACGUGGAACAUUUAUAGAGAUAGCCUGUAAGAGCUGAAUUCCUGCUGCCUCUAACUCCAGACACUUUCGCCUGAAUGUGUACUUCUCACUACUGAUAAACCCGUGACUCAGCUGGAAAUCCUCGUGGUGAAGGAACUGAACACAGAAAACACACAUUCGUAAAGACCAGGUGUGGAAGUCUCCAGCCCUGUUUGCACCGCAGCAGACAGGGACACCACAGCCACACGGUACUUGGAAACCCGAGCUUGAGAUGAUUGAUGGAAGUGUUAAAAUGCCAGAGCAUUUGGGGAAUGUGGUAUGGGCAGUCCCAGAAGAAAUGGCCCUGCUCAGAUGCCAUCCUGUGGGGUGCGGCUUAAUGGGGCCACUCACUCAUCUGGGAUGUGAAACUUUGAAGACAAAUACCUGUUUACUUCAUUCGCCCCAGAUUUUAUACAUGCUUUUUAAAAAACAACUUUAUUCAUGUAUAGCUAGGAUAAAAUGAACAGCACAUAUUUAAAGUGCCCAAUUUGAUGAAUUUUGAUAUUGGUGUACAUGUGUGAAACUGUCAUCACAAUCAAAAUAACAAACGCCUCCAUCAUUUCCAAGUUUCCCCAUGUCCUUUGUAAGCCCACCUUGCUCCCCCUUCCCCCACACAAGCCCAACCUCCCAUCCCUUCCCAGCAAUCAUUGAUACGUUUUCUGUCUCUAUGGCUUAGUUUGCAUUUUCUAGAAUUUUAUAUAAAUGAAAUCAUACAGUAUGUGUUAUUUUUGUCUGGCUUUUUUUUCCAUUUAGCAUAAUUACUUUGAAAUCUGCCCAUACUGUUGUCUGUAUCAAUAGUGUAUUCCUUUCAUCUCUGAGUGUCAUUCCAUUUUGUGGAAAUGCCAUAAUUUGCUUAUUCAUUUGCCUGUUGAGGGACAUUUGGAUUGUUUUCCAUUUUGGGCCAUUACCAUAAAGCUGCUAUGAACAUUUGUAUACGUGUGGACAGAUGCUUUUAUUUCUCUUGAGUAAAUACCUAGAAGUGGAAUGGCUGUAUAUUUAGCUUUGCAGAAACUGUCAGACUAUUUUCCAAAGUAGUUGUACUAUUUUACAUUGUUAGCAGCAGCGUAGAAGAGUUCCAGUUCCUCCACCCACUUGUCAACACAUGGUAUCGUCCAUUUCUAAAGUGUUACCACUACUAGGUGUGUGGUGGUAUCUCAAUGUGAUUUUCGUUUGCAUUUCUCUAAUGACUAAUGAUGUUGAGCAUCUUUUAAUGUGUUUAUUUUGCCUUUCAUUUAUCUUCUUUGGUGAGGAGAGUGUGUUCAAACCUUUGGCCCAUUUUUUUAAAGUUGGUUUAUUUGUCUUCUUGUAAUUGAGUCUUAAGAAUUCUUCACAUAUCCUAGAUCCAAGUUCUUUGUGAGAUAGAUGUUUUGCAUUUAAUUCAGUAAGAUAUAUAAACAAGAAAGGCUUAUUGUGAGUCCCUGAACCAUGCUAAGAGAUGAAAUAGGUACCAUUUGUUCAACAUUAAGUAUAAAUUAUACAUACAAAAGCUACAUAUAUCCCACAGAUGAAUUACUUUUCAUCUCUCCUUAAUGGCACUAGUGGCUCUUAGCCAGAUGGGCUGAAAGAAAGCUCCCUGUCCCUACCUUUCCAAGUAUUCUUUAUUUCUGGCCUCUUGUCCCUGGGGUCCUUUCCUAAUUCCACACCCCACUCUGAUCCACACCGGCAGAUGGACAACUUUGGAGGCAGUAAUUACCAACGUCUUUCAGGUGGAGUCUUCAUCAGCCACCCAUCCUGCACUGACUCAUGUCAAGGAGGGGCAGCUGCCUGGAACCCUGUUUUCUCCCCACUGCUAGAGGCUGGGGCUCUUUCUAGAUUCUCCUGACUUCAUGCAGAAAAUUACCAAUGUUUUGGUUGUGUUACCUCAGUGAUUUUUUUCCGCUGAUUAAAAAUUAACUCCCUCAUUGCUACCAAACCUCCCUUCCUCAGGGCACCAGCUGGGUGGUUGCUGCUUAAGGAUGAGCAGCGACUUCUGAGCAGCGCAGAAUCACCCCCUAGCUUACUUCUGUCCUGGAGACCCUCAGCUGGGAGCCCACAACGCUAGUCUGUGCUCAGGCUCCAGAGCUUUCCUCAGAAUUGAUUCUAGAACCCCAGAGGCAGGCCUGAGGGAGACGAGGAGGGAGAGUCCCUGGGCAACGUGCUUCCUGAAAGCACAUGUCAGAGUGAAAGCGUGUCCUUAUAAGUGGGAUUCUCACAGCAGUGGAGUGACUUUGCACAAGACACUUUACCUCUCUCAGCCUCCCUUUCUUCAUGAUAAUGAUAAUAAUCCUCACUACAAAUCUGUAUUUCAUCACAGGACAAUAGGAGAAAUCUGGCCAUCUCAUACACUAGGCCUCCCCAAGUCGCUGUCAUCUCUUUGCUGGGUUGUUGCAAUCACCUCCUCAAAGGCCCCACUCCCACAUCUGCAGUCUCUCUUCAUACUACAGCCAGGAGGCUCUUUAAAACCAGGAUUUUGUCACCAACUUGUCAAAAACCCUCAAAUGGUUUUCAGUCUGACUCAGAGUAAAAGCUAAGGUCGACACCAUGAACUGCAAAGCCCCGCAGGAUUAGAUGCUUGCAGCCUCUUACCUCUUAAGCUUUCCACCUCUCUCCUUCCCUUGGCCAUGGCCUCCCUCUGUGUGGUCUGGCCAUUCUGCUUCAUGAGGGCCCUUAGCACAGACUGCUCUCUCCACAGCGUCUCCCCUCACGUGUCCACCGGGCUCCCUCUCUUCCCCCAGCUUUCUGCUCAAGUGUGGCCUUCAUAGGGCUGCCUUCUUAUCCUCCCUUUCCCUACCUCUUUGCUUUAUAUUACUCAUGGCACUUGCCACUGCAUGAUGUAUUAUAUGUUUAUAAAUGUCCCUGGUGUCUGCCUCUCCCCAAUAAAGCACAAACACUGUAGCAG
rnacentral:lncRNA from 1 species